UACGUAGGGUGCGAGCGUUGUCCGGAAUUAUUGGGCGUAAAGAGCUCGUAGGCGGCCUGUCGCGUCGGAUGUGAAAGCCCGGGGCUUAACCCCGGGUCUGCAUUCGAUACGGGCAGGCUAGAGUGUGGUAGGGGAGAUCGGAAUUCCUGGUGUAGCGGUGAAAUGCGCAGAUAUCAGGAGGAACACCGGUGGCGAAGGCGGUUCUCUGGGCCUGUACUGACGCUGAGGAGCGAAAGCGUGGGGGAGCAAACAGG
rnacentral:rRNA from 1 species